UACGUAGGGGUGCGAGCGUUAAUCGGAAUUACUGGGCGUAAAGCGUGCGCAGGCGGCUUCGCAAGUCAGGCGUGAAAUCCCCGGGCUUAACCUGGGAAUGGCGUCUGAAACUACGGAGCUGGAGUGUGGCAGAGGGAGGUAGAAUUCCACGUGUAGCGGUGAAAUGCGUAGAUAUGUGGAGGAAUACCGAUGGCGAAGGCAGCCUCCUGGGCCAACACUGACGCUCAUGCACGAAAGCGUGGGGAGCAAACAGG
rnacentral:rRNA from 1 species